rnacentral:rRNA from 1 species
AGAGUUUGAUCCUGGCUCAGAUUGAACGCUGGCGGCAUGCCUUACACAUGCAAGUCGAACGGCAGCACGGGAGCAAUCCUGGUGGCGAGUGGCGAACGGGUGAGUAAUAUAUCGGAACGUGCCCAGUAGUGGGGGAUAGCCCGGCGAAAGCCGGAUUAAUACCGCAUGAGACCUGAGGGUGAAAGCGGGGGAUCGCAAGACCUCGCGCUAUUGGAGCGGCCGAUAUCAGAUUAGCUAGUUGGUGGGGUAAAGGCCUACCAAGGCAACGAUCUGUAGUUGGUCUGAGAGGACGACCAGCCACACUGGGACUGAGACACGGCCCAGACUCCUACGGGAGGCAGCAGUGGGGAAUUUUGGACAAUGGGCGAAAGCCUGAUCCAGCCAUGCCGCGUGCAGGAUGAAGGCCUUCGGGUUGUAAACU